rnacentral:snRNA from 1 species
AAUCGGAUUUUUGAACUUGGAGUACUGUGCUGGAGCUUGCUCCACCCUGCUCAUGGGUUGUCCUGGUAUUGCAUUGCCUCCAGGUUCGGCUCACGUUUC